GAUGAACGCUGGCGGCGUGCCUAAUACAUGCAAGUCGAGCGAAUGGAUUGAGAGCUUGCUCUUAUGAAGUUAGCGGCGGACGGGUGAGUAACACGUGGGUAACCUGCCCAUAAGACUGGGAUAACUCCGGGAAACCGGGGCUAAUACCGGAUAACAUUUUGAACCGCAUGGUUCGAAAUUGAAAGGCGGCUUCGGCUGUCACUUAUGGAUGGACCCGCGUCGCAUUAGCUAGUUGGUGAGGUAACGGCUCACCAAGGCAGCGGUGCGUAGCCGACCUGAGAGGGUGAUCGGCCACACUGGGACUGAGACACGGCCCAGACUCCUACGGGAGGCAGCAGUAGGGAAUCUUCCGCAAUGGACGAAAGUCUGACGGAGCAACGCCGCGUGAGUGAUGAAGGCUUUCGGGUCGUAAAACUCUGUUGUUAGGGAAGAACAAGUGCUAGUUGAAUAAGCUGGCACCUUGACGGUACCUAACCAGAAAGCCACGGCUAACUACGUGCCAGCCGCCGCCGUAA
rnacentral:rRNA from 1 species